GACAGAGGGGGCAAGCGUUGCUCGGAAUUACUGGGCGUAAAGAGCGCGCAGGCGGUCGUUCAAGUCGCGUGUGAAAGCCCCCGGCUCAACUGGGGAGGGUCACGCGAUACUGAUCGACUCGAAGGCAGGAGAGGGUAGUGGAAUUCCCGGUGUAGUGGUGAAAUGCGUAGAUAUCGGGAGGAACACCAGUGGCGAAGGCGACUACCUGGCCUGUUUCUUGACGCUGAGGCGCGAAAGCUAGGGGAGCAAACGGG
rnacentral:rRNA from 1 species